AGUGAACGCUGGCGGUAGGCCUAACACAUGCAAGUCGAACGGCAGCACAGUAAGAGCUUGCUCUUACGGGUGGCGAGUGGCGGACGGGUGAGGAAUACAUCGGAAUCUACUUUUUCGUGGGGGAUAACGUAGGGAAACUUACGCUAAUACCGCAUACGACCUACGGGUGAAAGCAGGGGAUCUUCGGACCUUGCGCGAUUGAAUGAGCCGAUGUCGGAUUAGCUAGUUGGCGGGGUAAAGGCCCACCAAGGCGACGAUCCGUAGCUGGUCUGAGAGGAUGAUCAGCCACACUGGAACUGAGACACGGUCCAGACUCCUACGGGAGGCAGUAGUGGGGAAUAUUGGACAAUGGGCGCAGGCCUGAUCCAGCCAUACCGCGUGGGUGAAGAAGGCCUUCGGGUUGUAAAGCCCUUUUGUUGGGAAAGAAAAGCAGCAGGUUAAUACCCCGCUGUUCUGACGGUACCCAAAGAAUAAGCACCGGCUAACUUCGUG
rnacentral:rRNA from 1 species